UCGUCUAAUCUUGGUUGUACGGGUAACUCAUCUAGAUAAAUCAAUCUAUGCACUAAUUCGGCCAGCUUCCAGUAAAACGUGACGGUGUCGCAAUACAAAUAGACCUGUGUUAUUCAUUAGAGAAUACAAUAUAUAGCUCCUGAGACUAAACCAAAAUUUAUUGGUACCAUCGAUCUGACACGAAAUAAAAACAAGAGAUUUGUUGCAUCAUCGAUAUUCCUCUGACACGUACGUACAGCACAGCGCAAGGAGGAACGGACAUUUCCAGAACUCGUAGCGCAGCUAGAUGGCUAGCACGUACACCUAACGUGGGCCGCGGGGUGGACGUCGUGUCACCUUCUCGACCGAUUGUCUCAUCGCAAAACAAACCAAUGCACCACGCGGCAGCGCGUGGAAAUCAACCCAACACCUGCCGCUCUACGUGUACCUGCACGUACCCCCCACCCCCUCUCGUGUAAAAUAAAAAAAAAAGAAAAAAACCCAGCUUAUUAUUAGCUUGUCGAUCGAUCUUACCGUGAAAGCAACGACUCCAUCCAUCGAUCGUUCCUCUCGUUGUUUCCACCGAACGCGAAGCAUGGCGAAGAGCGGCGCGGAGGAGUGGCGGCGCAACGCCGACACGCACAAGAUGAGCGCCGAGGAGGUGCGGGCGGCCGGGGUGGAGGCGUCCAUGCGCCCGCCGGGGCGAGGCACCGGCACCGGCGAGGUGCNN
rnacentral:lncRNA from 1 species